CAGUCCAAAAUUAAAAAAUCCCUCUCCCUUUUCACUUUCCUUUUCUCCUUCUUUCUUUCUUUUUCACUUCUCAGAUUUUGCUUUCUUUGACUAAAAAUUCACCAAAUCGAAGCCACUGAUUCCGAAUCCCACCAUUUUCCUCUUUUUCAAAGUUGCACGAGCUGGAAGUAACCACUCAGUUUGUGUACUUUGAUAGUAAGGUAAUCAUUAUGGGAUAUGUGUUGCAAAUCAAAAGGGAGUAGUAAUAGGGACCCUAGUAAUAUUGUAUGUCUGGCUUGGUUUUCUUGUUUGUUACACCUUAGCUAAAAGAAGAAACUUCAACCCAGAAAGUUAUCAUAGGAAACUUCAUCAUAAUUUGUUUGGAAUCCAUGUGAAUUUGUUGGGGCCUUCUCUUUCAUAUGGGACAAAUUGUGAUUUUUUUCCCAAUCUCGUAAAAUUUAUAAUUUUUUAAUGGUAGUUUAUAAAACGUCAUUAUUUUAUACAGAUAUAUUUUGUAAAAUAGCUACAAAGUGUUUAGUGUGUUUGACAGAAUGUUGAACGUGUUUAGAAUUAAUUUUGUAAAGAAUUAUAUGAAAUGGAUCAUUACGAGAAAUGAUUAAAAAAUAAAAAUGAUUUGGCUGAAGUAUUGAAAAAGAUUAGGGAACGAGUAUUGAGCGUGUAACAAUGUAUCAAGUAUGGAUGAGUACUUAUAUAUUACAUUCAUCAAAAUUGUAACUUUCUAUUUUAAAAAUAAAGUUAACAUCAUUGUAUAAUA